UAUUUAUUAGAUAAAAAACCAAUGCCCUUCGGGGCUCCUUGGUGAAUCAUAAUAACUUAACGAAUCGCAUGGCCUUGCGCCGGCGAUGGUUCAUUCAAAUUUCUGCCCUAUCAACUUUCGGUGGUAGGGUAGUGGCCUACCAUGGUAUCAACGGGUAACGGGGAAUUAGGGUUCGACUCCCGAGAGGGAGCCUGAGAAACGGCUACCACAUCCAAGGAAGGCAGCAGGCGCGCAAAUUACCCAAUCCCGACACGGGGAGGUAGUGACAAUAAAUACUGAUACAGGGCUCUUUUGGGUCUUGUAAUUGGAAUGAGUACAAUUUAAAUCCCUUAACGAGGAACAAUUGGAGGGCAAGUCUGGUGCCAGCAGCCGCGGUAAUUCCAGCUCCAAUAGCGUAUAUUAAAGUUGUUGCAGUUAAAAAGCUCGUAGUUGAACCUUGGGCCUGGCUGGCCGGUCCGCCUCACCGCGUGUACUGGUCCGGCCGGGCCUUUCCUUCUGGGGAACCUCGUGCCCUUCACUGGGCGUGUUGGGGAACCAGGACUUUUACUUUGAAAAAAUUAGAGUGUUCAAAGCAGG
rnacentral:rRNA from 1 species